GCCGGUGUAGCUCAGUGGUUAGAGCGAGCGCUUCAUAAGCGUUAGGUCGCUGGUUCAAUUCCAGCCACCGGCACAA
rnacentral:tRNA from 1 species